rnacentral:rRNA from 1 species
AAUCAACGCUGGCGGCGUGCCUAAUACAUGCAAGUCGAACGCGAAAGUCCCGCAAGGGAUGAGUAGAGUGGCAAACGGGUGAGUAACGCGUGGGUGACCUGCCUUCGAGUGGGGGAUAACGUUUCGAAAGGAACGCUAAUACCGCAUGACAUCCUGUCUUUUAACAGACGGAGAUCAAAGCCGGGGAUCGCAAGACCUGGCGCUUGAAGAGGGGCCCGCGUCCGAUUAGCUAGUUGGUGGGGAAUGGCUCACCAAGGCAUCGAUCGGUAGCCGGCCUGAGAGGGGCGGACGGCCACACUGGGACUGAGACACGGCCCAGACUCCUACGGGAGGCAGCAGUAGGGAAUUGUUCGCAAUGGGCGCAAGCCUGACGACGCAACGCCGCGUGGAGGAUGAAGA